rnacentral:rRNA from 1 species
GACGAACGCUGGCGGCGUGCCUAAUACAUGCAAGUAGAACGCUGAAGGAGGAGCUUGCUUCUCUGGAUGAGUUGCGAACGGGUGAGUAACGCGUAGGUAACCUGCCUGGUAGCGGGGGAUAACUAUUGGAAACGAUAGCUAAUACCGCAUAAGAGUAGAUGUUGCAUGACAUUUGCUUAAAAGGUGCAAUUGCAUCACUACCAGAUGGACCUGCGUUGUAUUAGCUAGUUGGUGGGGUAACGGCUUACCAAGGCGACGAUACAUAGCCGACCUGAGAGGGGGAUAGGCAACACUGGGACGGAGAAAGGGCCCAGACUCCUAAGGGAGGAAGAAGAAGGGAAUCUUCGGAAAUGGACGGAAGUCUGACCGAGCAAGGCCGCGGGAGUGAAGAAGGUUUUCGGAUCGAAAAGCUCGGUUGAAAGAGAAGAACGAGUGGGAGAGUGGAAAGUUCACACUGUGACGGUAUCUACCAGAAAGGGACGGCUAACUACGUG